UGGGCUCAGAUGGUGCUGCCGAGGGGGUGUGGAGCGCUCCCACCCUCGCUGCAGCUGCGGCACCGGCUCGGGGCUCCCUGCCCGGCCUCGGGGCUCCCUGCCCGGCUCGGGGCUCCGUGCCCGGCUCGGGGCUCCCUGCCCGGGCUGCCAGCCGCCGGCAGCCCCGGAGCACAGGACGCGGCCGGAGCAGGAACCUGAGGGCUGUGGGCACAGAUGAGAUGAGAUGCAGCUUAAGGCAAGUGUGACAAUCCAGAUUUCCCCCGGUGCUGAGACAUUCCCCUCCUGGACUUCCACGGGGAGGAAACAAGCAACACCAAACUGGCAGCUGGCUGAGCCUUCCCUGCUCCUUGAUGAAGAAGGCAGCACAUCCCUGAGCUCAGCACCUGGGAAAAAGCUGCCCUGUGCUGGAGACUUGGUGCCACAGGCUGCAGCUCCUGCUCUCCCUGCCUCCAAACCCCUCUGCUGAGCCUCCCCAUGCCUGCAGCACCCGAGGCAAAGCUGGCUCCUGGAUGCUGACAGGGCAGCCCUAGAUCUGCUUCUCCAGGAAUCCUG
rnacentral:lncRNA from 1 species